UACGUAGGGGGCUAGCGUUGUCCGGAAUCAUUGGGCGUAAAGCGCGCGUAGGCGGUCCGGUAAGUCCGCUGUGAAAGUCGGGGGCUCAACCCUCGAAUGCCGGUGGAUACUGUCGGGCUAGAGUGCGGAAGAGGCGAGUGGAAUUCCUGGUGUAGCGGUGAAAUGCGCAGAUAUCAGGAGGAACACCAAUGGCGAAGGCAGCUCGCUGGGACGGUACUGACGCUGAGACGCGAAAGCGUGGGGAGCAAACAGG
rnacentral:rRNA from 1 species